GUAGCAGAGGAGGAAGCUCCGGCUAACUACGUGCCAGCAGCCGCGGUAAUACGUAGGGAGCAAGCGUUGUCCGGAUUUAUUGGGUUUAAAGGGAGCGUAGGUGGACAGUUAAGUCAGUUGUGAAAGUUUGCGGCUCAACCGUAAAAUUGCAGUUGAUACUGGCUGUCUUGAGUACAGUAGAGGUGGGCGGAAUUCGUGGUGUAGCGGUGAAAUGCUUAGAUAUCACGAAGAACUCCGAUUGCGAAGGCAGCUCACUGGACUGCAACUGACACUGAUGCUCGAAAGUGUGGGUAUCAAACAGGAUUAGAUACCCUGGUAGUCCACACAGUAAACGAUGAAUACUCGCUGUUUGCGAUAUACAGUAAGCGGCCAAGCGAAAGCAUUAAGUAUUCCACCUGGGGAGUACGCCGGCAACGGUGAAACUCAAAGGAAUUGACGGGGGCCCGCACAAGCGGAGGAACAUGUGGUUUAAUUCGAUGAUACGCGAGGAACCUUACCCGGGCUUAAAUUGCAUUUGAAUAUAUUGGAAACAGUAUAGUCGUAAGACAAAUGUGAAGGUGCUGCAUGGUUGUCGUCAGCUCGUGCCGUGAGGUGUCGGCUUAAGUGCCAUAACGAGCGCAACCCUUAUCUUUAGUUACUAACAGGUCAUGCUGAGGACUCUGGAGAGACUGCCGUCGUAAGAUGUGAGGAAGGUGGGGAUGACGUCAAAUCAGCACGGCCCUUACGUCCGGGGCUACACACGUGUUACAAUGGGGGGUACAGAAGGUCGCUACCUGGUGACAGGAUGCUAAUCCCAAAAGCCUCUCUCAGUUCGGAUCGAAGUCUGCAACCCGACUUCGUGAAGCUGGAUUCGCUAGUAAUCGCGCAUCAGCCAUGGCGCGGUGAAUACGUUCCCGGGCCUUGUACACACCGCCCGUCAAG
rnacentral:rRNA from 1 species